AAACUCAAUAUAAUUAAUUUGUGACUAAGCACCAAAUAGUGUAACUAAUACGUAAGUAAUUGAAUGCAACCAAAAAUUUAAAUGAAAUAUAACCUUAAAUUAUACGUAACCUCCAAAAUGACAAGUAUUUAUCUCGUUUAUCAUAAGUAUAAAAAAACUUCGUUAAACACAAAAAAACAACACAGUGAAAGUGAGGGAAGAAAAAGAAUGAAGGAACAAGAGGAGAUAGGUAAGAUAGGAUAGAGGCUCGACAAAUGAAUUCCCUUCCUUUAUUUUAUUUGACCACCCUGACGAUGUAACGGAGACGGCACAACAAUUACAGCCUGACCUUUGCCGAAGAGUGUAGCUUGCCAAUUAAGGUGACCGGAGUGGAUGGUGUGACUAACGGCUGACAAUCGAUGUGGCUUUGGUGAUGUGGACCGGAACACAACGAACGCAAGACGUAGGUAUAGAUGGUUCCGGGAUGUAUCGGUAAGUAUCACGAUAGGCAAGGAUGUCUGGUUCCGAUUAUUGUAGAUGAUGGAAUCCAACGUAGUGUGAUGAAACCUCCAAGGAAACUUGAAGACGACGAACGCAAUAAAGUAGACGUAAAAGAAAAAGCUCUUGAGAUGACGAGCGAGCUUAUGGUGAAUGUGACGGCAGAUCCGCAAUAUAUGCGCGAGAAGAAUUAACCACCAAAAUAUCAAACGGCACGUACUUAAUCUUCUCUGACAACCAAUUCUCUAUAAAUCCUUCCUUAGAAGCUCAAUAUAAUUGUAAUUAAAGACUUGGUGAAAUCACAUGUACUUCAUACAAGAUGUCUACAGGAAAAGUGAAAGUUGAUAACAGUAUACGGGAAAAGGAAAUUGUUAUCAGCUACAGGGAAAGAAGAGAAAAUGAAAUAAAGUAUUUCGAAGACUUAAUAGGCCUUAAGGGUAAGAAAAUAAACUGUUACAGCCCACAUA